GUGUUGGUGUAGAGACUGAAGUCCUUUACUUAUCCAUAGAAAAGGUACAACAUGGGCAGCAAAUAAGGAAAGCUCUUCCACAAAGCUCACAAAUAUGCCUCAGCCACGCCCUGAAAAAGCCACUUCUAGGGGCGGGGAGAGGGAGGAUAGUCAACUCUCCAUACCCAGUCAAUCCCUGGCCUCU
rnacentral:sRNA from 1 species